rnacentral:rRNA from 1 species
GAUGAACGCUGGCGGCGUGCCUAAUACAUGCAAGUCGAGCGAAUGGAUUAAGAGCUUGCUCUUAUGAAGUUAGCGGCGGACGGGUGAGUAACACGUGGGUAACCUGCCCAUAAGACUGGGAUAACUCCGGGAAACCGGGGCUAAUACCGGAGAACAUUUUGAACCGCAUGGUUCGAAAUUGAAAGGCGGCUUCGGCUGUCACUUAUGGAUGGACCCGCGUCGCAUUAGCUAGUUGGUGAGGUAACGGCUCACCAAGGCAACGAUGCGUAGCCGACCUGAGAGGGGGAUCGGCCACACUGGGACUGAGACACGGCCCAGACUCCUACGGGAGGCAGCAGUAGGGAAUCUUCCGCAAUGGACGAAAGUCUGACGGAGCAACGCCGCGGGAGUGAUGAAGGCUUUCGGGUCGUAAAACUCUGUUGUUAGGGAAGAACAAGUGCUAGUUGAAUAAGCUGGCACCUUGACGGUACCUAACCAGAAAGCCACGGCUAACUACGUGCCAGCCGCCGCGGUAA